rnacentral:rRNA from 1 species
UACAGAGGUCUCAAGCGUUUGUUCGGAUUCAUUGGGCGUAAAGGGUGCGUAGGUGGCGCUGUAAGUCGGGUGUGAAAUUUCGGAGCUUAACUCCGAAACUGCAUUCGAUACUGCGGUGCUUUGAGGACUGGAGAGGAGACUGGAAUUCAUGGUGUAGCAGUGAAAUGCGUAGAGAUCAUGAGGAAGACCAGUGGCGAAAGGCGGGUCUCUGGACAGUUCCUGACACUGAGGCACGAAGGCCAGGGGAGCAAACGGGG